rnacentral:rRNA from 5 species
CUGACCGUAAACGAUGCCAACUAGCGAUCCGCCGGUGGAUUUUUAGCCCUGGUGGGUAGCUUCCCGGAAACGAAAGUCUUCCGGUUCCGGGGGAAGUAUGGUUGCAAAGCUGAAACUUAAAGGAAUUGACGGAAGGGCACCACCAGGAGUGGAGCCUGCGGCUUAAUUUGACUCAACACGGGGAAACUCACCCGGCCCGGACACCGUAAGGAUUGACAGAUUGAUAGCUCUUUCAUGAUUCGGUGGUUGGUGGUGCAUGGCCGUUCUUAGUUCGUGGAUCGAUUUGUCUGGUUUAUUCCGAUAACGAGCGAGACUCUAGCCUACUAAAUAGUAACGAGAUUAUCAAUGUCUCAGUUGCUUCUUAGAGGGAUUUUCGGUGUUUAGCCGCACGAGAUUGAGCAAUAACAGGUCUGUGAUGCCCUUAGAUGUCCGGGGCUGCACGCGCGCUACACUGGCGAAAUCAGCGUGCUGUAUCCAUUCUCGAAAGGGAUUGGUAAACCCAUGAAAAUUUGCCGUGCUUGGGAUCGGAAAUUGCAAUUAUUUUCCGUGAACGAGGAAUUCCAAGUAAGUGCGAGUCAUCAACUCGCUCUG